AUAAGCGGAGGAAAAGAAACUAACAAGGAUUCCCCUAGUAACUGCGAGUGAAGCGGGAAAAGCUCAAAUUUAAAAUCUGGCAGCCUUUGGUUGUCCGAGUUGUAAUCUAGAGAAGUGUUAUCCGCGCUGGACCGUGUACAAGUCUCCUGGAAUGGAGCGUCAUAGAGGGUGAGAAUCCCGUCUUUGACACGGACUGCCAGGGCUUUGUGAUGCGCUCUCAAAGAGUCGAGUUGUUUGGGAAUGCAGCUCAAAAUGGGUGGUAAAUUCCAUCUAAAGCUAAAUAUUGGCGAGAGACCGAUAGCGAACAAGUACCGUGAGGGAAAGAUGAAAAGAACUUUGGAAAGAGAGUUAAACAGUACGUGAAAUUGCUGAAAGGGAAACGCUUGAAGUCAGUCGCGUUGUCCAGGGAUCAACCUUGCUUUUGCUUGGUGCAUUUUCUGGUUGACGGGUCAGCAUCAAUUUUGACCAUUGGAAAAAGAUUAGGGGAAUGUGGCAUCUUCGGAUGUGUUAUAGCCCUUGGUUGCAUACAAUGGUUGGGAUUGAGGAACUCAGCACGCCGCAAGGCCGGGUUUUUAACCACGUACGUGCUUAGGAUGCUGGCAUAAUGGCUUUAAUCGACCCGUCUUGAAACACGGACCAAGGAGUCUAACAUGCCUGCGAGUGUUUGGGUGGAAAACCCGAGCGCGUAAUGAAAGUGAAAGUUGAGAUCCCUGUCGUGGGGAGCAUCGACGCCCGGACCAGACCUUUUGUGACGGCUCCGCGGUAGAGCAUGUAUGUUGGGACCCGAAAGAUGGUGAACUAUGCCUGAAUAGGGUGAAGCCAGAGGAAACUCUGGUGGAGGCUCGUAGCGAUUCUGACGUGCAAAUCGAUCGUCAAAUUUGGGUAUAGGGGCGAAAGACUAAUCGAACCAUCUAGUAGCUGG
rnacentral:rRNA from 1 species